rnacentral:rRNA from 1 species
AUGGUGCCGCUCAAGCACUUUGACCUCCGGAUCGCCUCGCGGACGCUGGUCCGGGCCUCGCGCCCGCCGCCGAGCUUCCCCGCCGUGCACGCCGUCUCCAACCUCGACCUCGUCCUCGGCCCCUUCCCACUCUACCUCAUCUGCGUGUACGGGCCCCCGCCGUGCGGCCUCGGUGCGGUGCUCGCCGCCGUACGCGCUGUCCUCCCGGAAUACCUCUGCCGCUUCUUCCCCUUCGCCGGCCGCAUUGUGCGCGACCCGGGGACCAGCAUUCCCGAGGACGCCUGCAACAACGCCGGCGCCGAGCUCGUCGUCGCGGACGCCGCGGUGCCGCUCGCGGCCGUCGACUUCGCCGACAUCGAGCGCUCGCUGGGGCUCAUCCAGGUGCCCUUCGACGCGGGCUUCGCCUUGUCGGUGCAGAUGGUACGGUUCGCGUGCGGCGGGUUCUCGCUGGCGGUCGGCACCAGCCACCUCCUCGCCGACGGCAGGGCGCUGGCCGCUCUGCUCAACAGCCUCACGGAGAUGGUCCGCACGGGCGGCCGCCUCUCCUGCGAGCCUCUGUUCGAUCAGUCUCUGUUCAGCCCGCGGUCACCGCCGCGGCAUAGUCCCUCGCUGGACGCCGAGUUCGCGCGGUUCACGCCGGGGACCAUGAUCAACCCCCUCCUGGCCGCGGCCAUCCAGCGGCGCCUUUACCGCAUCGGGGCAGCCGACCUGGCGGCGCUCCAAACAGCGGCGUCGACAGUCAGCGGCCGCCGCCCGUCACGCUUCCUGGCGCUGUGCGCGCACGUCUGGAAGCUCCUCGCGCGUGCCGUCGGCGAGUCCGCCCCCAGCUGCCGCAUGGCGUGGACCGUCGACGGCCGGAGGUGCGUCGAGCCGUCGGCGGGCGCCCUGGACAUGUACAUGGGGAACGUCGUCACGUACGCGUCCCACGAGGCGAGCGUGUCGGACCUGCGGCGCAUGCCGUUGCACGACGUGGCCGCCACCGUGCGCGCCGCCAUCACGGCUGUGAUGACGAAGGACAGGUUCCAGGAUUUGGUGGACUGGGCGGAGGAGAACAAGGCAGCGUACAAGGACGGCGGGAAGUGGACGGAGGAGGUGAACCUCGGCCUCGGGAGCCCGGCGCUGGUGAUCUCCGGCUUCGUCCCGUUCGCCAUCGACGGGGAUCUGGGGUUCGGGAAGCCGAGGCUGGUCUUGCCGUGGCUGCGGCACAACCGGCUGGGGUCGGCGGCGAUGAUCCUCGUGCCCUGCCCCAGCGGGGAUGGGUCGUGGUUCGUGGAAGGCACGAGGCUGUGGCCGCGGCUGGUGGAGGUGGUAGAGAAUGUCCCGGAGAGCUUGCUGACGCCGGUGACGGCCGGGAGUCUAGGGUUCGCAGACGCAGAGCCGGCCGGCGAGCACUACGGUUCCCGUCUGUGA